rnacentral:lncRNA from 1 species
AGAUUCACGUGGAGCAAGGGGCUCAUGCAGAAGCAGUUCCCGGACCCGACACUCUGGGUAGGAGACCACUAAACCCGGCCCCUCAAAGCAGAGGUGACCUUGCCCUCAUCGAGAGCGCACACAAGACGCCACUGUAAAAGGAUCACAGAUGGAGAGACAUUUUGCCACACGAUGAAUCACACACCACAUCUCAUCCCCGAGCUUCAGCUGCAGGACAAUGCUGCCAGAGGCCUGGUCCUCAGAGCUCACGACAUCCUGGUUCUCCUAGGUGGAAAAGCAGAAAAC